rnacentral:rRNA from 1 species
GUGGGGAAUUUUGGACAAUGGGGGCAACCCUGAUCCAGCCAUCCCGCGUGUGCGAUGAAGGCCUUCGGGUUGUAAAGCACUUUUGGCAGGAAAGAAAUCGCACGGGAUAAUACCUCGUGUGGAUGACGGUACCUGCAGAAUAAGCACCGGCUAACUACGUGCCAGCAGCCGCGGUAAUACGUAGGGUGCAAGCGUUAAUCGGAAUUACUGGGCGUAAAGCGUGCGCAGGCGGUUCGGAAAGAAAGAUGUGAAAUCCCAGGGCUUAACCUUGGAACUGCAUUUUUAACUACCGGGCUAGAGUGUGUCAGAGGGGGGUGGAAUUCCGCGUGUAGCAGUGAAAUGCGUAGAUAUGCGGAGGAACACCGAUGGCGAAGGCAGCCCCCUGGGAUAACACUGACGCUCAUGCACGAAAGCGUGGGGAGCAAACAGGAUUAGAUACCCGUGUAGUCC